GUCGAACGGACACUUCGGUGUUAGUGGCGGACGGGUGAGUAACGCGUAAGAAUCUGCCCCCAAGUUCGGGAUAACGGAGGGAAACCACCGCUAAUACCGGAUGAAACCGAGAGGUCAAAGGUUUACUGCUUGGGGAUGAGCUUGCGUCCGAUUAGCUAGUUGGAGUGGUAAAAGCACACCAAGGCGACAAUCGGUAGCGGGUUUGAGAGGAUGACCCGCCACACUGGGGCUGAGACACGGCCCAGACUCCUACGGGAGGCAGCAGUGGGGAAUUUUCCGCAAUGGGGGCAACCCUGACGGAGCAAUACCGCGUGAGGGACGAAGGUCUGUGGAUUGUAAACCUCUUUUCUUUGGGACGAUAAUGACGGUACCAGAGGAAUCAGCAUCGGCUAACUCCGUGCCAGCAGCCGCGGUAAGACGGAGGAUGCAAGCGUUAUCCGGAAUUAUUGGGCGUAAAGGGUGCGUAGGUGGUCAGACAAGUCCCAUGUCAAAGCAUGGUGCUUAACGCCAUAAAGGCGUGGGAAACUGUGUGACUAGAGUACAGCAGGGGCAGGAGGAAUUCCCGGUGUAGCGGUGAAAUGCGUA
rnacentral:rRNA from 1 species